rnacentral:rRNA from 1 species
AGAGUUUGAUUCUGGCUCAGGAUGAACGCUGGCGGCGCGCCUAACACAUGCAAGUCGAACGGCACCCCUCUCCGGAGGGAAGCGAGUGGCGAACGGCUGAGUAACACGUGGAGAACCUGCCCCCUCCCCCGGGAUAGCCGCCCGAAAGGACGGGUAAUACCGGAUACCCCGGGGUGCCGCAUGGCACCCCGGCUAAAGCCCCGACGGGAGGGGAUGGCUCCGCGGCCCAUCAGGUAGACGGCGGGGUGACGGCCCACCGUGCCGACAACGGGUAGCCGGGUUGAGAGACCGACCGGCCAGAUUGGGACUGAGACACGGCCCAG